AUUGAACGCUGGCGGCAGGCUUAACACAUGCAAGUCGAGCGAGCGGCGGACGGGUGAGUAAUGUCUGGGACACUGCCUGAUGGAGGGGGAUAACUACUGGACACGGUAGCUAAUACCGCCUUCCAGCAGCUGUGCCCAGAUGGGUUUAGCUAGUAGGUGGGGUAAUGGCUCACCAAGGCGACGAUCCCUACCUGGUCUGAGAGGAUGACCAGCCACACUGGAACUGAGACACGGUCCAGACUCCUACGGGAGGCAGCAGUGGGGAAUAUUGCACAAUGGGCGCAAGCCUGAUGCAGCCAUGCCGCGUGUGUGAAGAAGGCCUUCGGGUUGUAAAGCACUUUCAGCGAGGAGGCGUUACUCGCAGAAGAAGCACCGGCUAACUCCGUGCCAGCAGCCGCGGUAAUUC
rnacentral:rRNA from 1 species